GGGCGAUUAGCUCAGCGGGAGAGCACUGCCUUCACACGGCAGGGGUCAGUGGUUCGAUCCCACUAUCGCCCACCA
rnacentral:tRNA from 3 species